rnacentral:rRNA from 1 species
GAUGAACGCUGGCGGCGUGCCUAAUACAUGCAAGUCGAGCGAACAGAUGAGGAGCUUGCUCCUCUGACGUUAGCGGCGGACGGGUGAGUAACACGUGGAUAACCUACCUAUAAUACUGGUAUAACUUCGGGAAACCGGAGCUAAUACCGGAUAAUAUAUUGAACCGCAUGGUUCAAUAGUAAAAGACGGUUUUGCUGUCACGUAUAGAUGGAUCCGCGCCGCUUUAGAUAGUUGGUAAGGUAAUGGCUUAGCAAGGCAACGAGGCGUAGCCGACCUCAGAGGCUGGUAGGCGACCUUGGAAGGGAGCCACGCUCAAGAGUACUACGGUAGGGAGCAGUAGGGAAUGUGACGCAAUGGUGGAAAGUUUGGCGGAGCAACGUCGAGUGAGAUAUGAAGGUGUUGGGAUCGUAAUACUGUGCUAUUAGGGAAGAACAAAUGUGUAAGUAACUAAGGACGUCUUGACGGUAAUGAAUCAGAAAGCCACGGCUAACUACGUG